UCCAGACUCCUACGGGAGGCAGCAGUGGGGAAUAUUGCACAAUGGGGGAAACCCUGAUGCAGCGACGCCGCGUGAGUGAAGAAGUAAUUCGUUAUGUAAAGCUCUCUCAGCAGGGAAGAAAAUGACGGUACCUGAGUAAGAAGCCCCGGCUAACUACGUGCCUGCAGCCGCGGUAAUACGUAGGGGGCAAGCGUUAUCCGGAUUUACUGGGUGUAAAGGGCGUGUAGGCGGGACUGCAAGUCAGAUGUGAAAAUUAUGGGCUCAACCCAUAACCUGCAUUUGAAACUGUAGUUCUUGAGUGAUGGAGAGGCAGGCGGAAUUCCGUGUGUAGCGGUGAAAUGCGUAGAUAUACGGAGGAACACCAGUGGCGAAGGCGGAUUGCUGGACAGUAACUGACGCUGAGGCGCGAAAGCGUGGGGAGCAAACAGGAUUAGAUACCCGUGUA
rnacentral:rRNA from 1 species